UUAAAUGCAAUUUUCAUA
rnacentral:miRNA from 1 species